UUUAUACUAAGUGAUCCAUAGGUUGAGGAGGCGGUGACCGUGGCGGUGGAGGAGGAGGAUGAGGUAGCCAACACUGUUUUUUAUAAAUAUAUAUAUUUUUUAAUUGGAGUAGCCCACAAAAUAUUGGGACAUAUAAAAAAAGACAACUCUGUUCGGCAGAGUAGCUGUUGACAUUAUAGUUGCGCAGGUACUUUGUUGACUCUAGAGAACCUCGGGCCAAUCGCACAUUCCCGUGGCACGACUUUGCAUGCGGAUGUCAUCCAUAUCAACUUUCGAUGCCAGUUUCUGAGCCUACCAUGGUGACCACGGGUAAUGGGGAAUCAGGGUUCCAUUCCGUACAGGAACCCUGAGAAACGGCUACCACAUGCAGGCGCGUAAAUGACCCACUCCCAAUGCGGAAAGGUAGUGAUGACAAAUAACAAUACAGGACUCUUUAGAGGCCCUGUAAUUGUAAUGAGUCCACUUGAAAUCCUUUAACUCUGAUCAAUUGGAGGGAAGUCUGGUGCAGAGCCACUGACCCGUGUGUGCUACAGCUGAAACUCCACUA